AAGGAACUCAUUGGAAGAUACUUUAAACGAUACAUCACCAUGUUUUACUAAAAAAUAUCCCUCUGCCCCUGGACCAUAUUCAAGAAUUUUACCCUCUUCCAAGAGCUGAUAAAAAUAAUUUUGGCCCCACCUAAAUCUGUAACUGCAUCUUCAACUUUUCAAGAUUUCUCUACAAUAUAUACCAUAAAAUGACCACCAGAGGGUGAAUUUGUGUUCCUUAGAGAUCCAGAUGAAAGGGUGAAAGGGACAAGACGAAUGGUGACCAGAUGGUCCAGUCCAGAAAAGCAUAAUUGCCAACUCUGAUUUAAGCUGGAAAAACUCCUCAAAGGAAAAUGGGAAUUUAGCUUCAAGAUAGUAGUUUCCAUAUUACCCAUGGGACAUGCCAAAGGAGCUUCUGGUAAGAAGUUGGAUAUUUGGAUCUGGAACUCAGAGGACAUAUAGAAGUUGAAGAUCUGGGCUACAUGAUGAGAUUCUUAGAGUGGGGAACCUCAGUAGUUAAAAAGUGAACUGCAAGAAUAUGCCAUAGAGGAGGUCAAAUAAAUUGACCUAAGAAUUAGAAAGGAUCUACAUUCAUGAUUGUGAAUACCUCUCUACAAAUGGACAUUAGAAACAAGGAAUGGAUUGGGAAGUCAGUAUAGAUUUGCUGGAGUGCAGUGUUUUGUUUCUGCUGUAGAAUUGAACACCCUGAUGUUUUUGGCAGAAGUUUUAAGGAGACAAAUUUUAAUAACUAGG